GACAGAGGGUGCAAACGUUUGUUCGGAAUUACUGGGCGUAAAGCGUGUGUAGGCGGCUAGGUAAGUCGGAUGUGAAAGCCCUGGGCUCAACCCAGAAGUGCACUCGAUACUGCUUAGCUAGAGUACCGGAGAGGUUGGUAGAAUUCUCGGUGUAGAGGUGAAAUUCGUAGAUAUCGAGAGGAAUACCGGUGGCGAAGGCGGCCAACUGGACGAGUACUGACGGUGAGACACGAAAGCGUGGGGAGCAAACAGG
rnacentral:rRNA from 1 species